GACGAACGCUGGCGGCGUGCUUAACACAUGCAAGUCGAACGGUAAGGCCCUUCGGGGUACACGAGUGGCGAACGGGUGAGUAACACGUGGGUGAUCUGCCCUGCACUUCGGGAUAAGCCUGGGAAACUGGGUCUAAUACCGGAUAUGACCAUGGCCUGCAUGGGUUGUGGUGGAAAGCUUUUGCGGUUGGGGAUGGGCCCGCGGCCUAUCAGCUUGUUGGUGGGGUAAUGGCCUACCAAGGCGACGACGGGUAGCCGACCUGAGAGGGUGAUCGGCCACACUGGGACUGAGACACGGCCCAGACUCCUACGGGAGGCAGCAGUGGGGAAUAUUGCACAAUGGGCGCAAGCCUGAUGCAGCGACGCCGCGUGAGGGAUGACGGCCUUCGGGUUGUAAACCUCUUUCACCAGGGACGAAGCGCGAGUGACGGUACCUGGAGAAGAAGCACCGGCCAACUACGUGCCAGCCGCCGCAGUAA
rnacentral:rRNA from 1 species